rnacentral:tRNA from 1 species
CCUUCGAUAGCUCAGCUGGUAGAGCGGAGGACUGUAGUGUGUGCUUCUGUAGGAAUCCUUAGGUCGCUGGUUCGAUUCCGGCUCGAAGGA